UCAGUUUCUGCAAUUUAGUUUUUUAUUUUUUAGCAGGAAACCCUGCUCUUGCUCAGAGGGAAAAGAGGACUCCUCCACACUCCGCCCUGGUACUGAAGACAGGUUUUAGAUAAUGGAGGAUAUAACCCCACCUACAGAGGGUACUAGUGUCACUGAAUCAUCUUCUUCAAGAAAUACCAAGAAGAAAAGAGGGCCAAGUAAAAGUGUCAAAACAAUGGCAAUUCC